CAACCCUCAAGCUCUGCUUGGUAUUGGGCUCUGCCGGUCCCGGCAGGCCCUAAAAUCAGUGGCGGUGCCAUCCGGCUUCAAGCGUAGUAAUUCUUCUCGCUUUGGAGGCCCGGGUGCGUGCUUGCCAGCAACCCCCAAUUUUUUUCA
rnacentral:misc_RNA from 1 species